rnacentral:rRNA from 1 species
UGGGGAAUAUUGCACAAUGGGCGCAAGCCUGAUGCAGCGACGCCGCGUGAGGGAUGACGGCCUUCGGGUUGUAAACCUCUUUCGCCAGGGACGAAGCGCAAGUGACGGUACCUGGAGAAGAAGGACCGGCCAACUACGUGCCAGCAGCCGCGGUAAUACGUAGGGUCCGAGCGUUGUCCGGAAUUACUGGGCGUAAAGAGCUCGUAGGUGGUUUGUCGCGUUGUUCGUGAAAACUCACAGCCAACUGUGGGCGUGCGGGCGAUACGGGCAGACUGGAGUACUGCAGGGGAGACUGGAAUUCCUGGUGUAGCGGUGGAAUGCGCAGAUAUCAGGAGGAACACCGGUGGCGAAGGCGGGUCUCUGGGCAGUAACUGACGCUGAGGAGCGAAAGCGUGGGGAGCGAACAGGAUUAGAUACCCUGGUAGUCCACGCCGUAAACGGUGGGUACUAGGUGUGGGUUUCCUUCCUUGGGAUCCGUGCCGUAGCUAACGCAUUAAGUA